GAGCCAUUAGCUCAGUUGGCAGAGCAUUUGACUUUUAAUCAAAGGGUCCGGAGUUCGAGCCUCCGAUGGCUCACCA
rnacentral:tRNA from 1 species